rnacentral:tRNA from 1 species
ACCUGGCUGGCUCAGGUGGUGGAACAUGUGACUCUUGAUCUCAAGGUUGCAAGUUCAAGCACCAUGCGUAGAGAUUAUUUUUAAAAAGUAAAAUCUUUUAAAAAAUAAAAAUAAAAAAUAUGGGGCUCCUGGGUGGUUCAGUCCAUUAAGCGACCAACUCGAUUUUGGCUCAGGUCAUGAUCUCAAGGUCAUGAGUUCAAUCCCCAUGUCAGGCU